GAUGAACGCUGGCGGCGUGCCUAAUACAUGCAAGUCGAGCGAACGGACGAGAAGCUUGCUUCUCUGAUGUUAGCGGCGGACGGGUGAGUAACACGUGGAUAACCUACCUAUAAGACUGGGAUAACUUCGGGAAACCGUAGCUAAUACCGGAUAAUAUUUUGAACCGCAUGGUUCAAAAGUGAAAGACGGUCUUGCUGUCACUUAUAGAUGGAUCCGCGCUGCAUUAGCUAGUUGGUAAGGUAACGGCUUACCAAGGCAACGAUGCAUAGCCGACCUGAGAGGGUGAUCGGCCACACUGGAACUGAGACACGGUCCAGACUCCUACGGGAGGCAGCAGUAGGGAAUCUUCCGCAAUGGGCGAAAGCCUGACGGAGCAACGCCGCGUGAGUGAUGAAGGUCUUCGGAUCGUAAAACUCUGUUAUUAGGGAAGAACAUAUGUGUAAGUAACUGUGCACAUCUUGACGGUACCUAAUCAGAAAGCCACGGCUAACUACGUGCCAGCAGCCGCGGUAAUACGUAGGUGGCAAGCGUUAUCCGGAAUUAUUGGGCGUAAAGCGCGCGUAGGCGGUUUUUUAAGUCUGAUGUGAAAGCCCACGGCUCAAUCGUGGAGGGUCAUUGGAAACUGGAAAACUUGAGUGCAGAAGAGGAAAGUGGAAUUCCAUGUGUAGCGGUGAAAUGCGCAGAGAUAUGGAGGAACACCAGUGGCGAAGGCGACUUUCUGGUCUGUAACUGACGCUGAUGUGCGAAAGCGUGGGGAUCAAACAGGAUUAGAUACCCUGGUAGUCCACGCCGUAAACGAUGAGUGCUAAGUGUUAGGGGGUUUCCGCCCCUUAGUGCUGCAGCUAACGCAUUAAGCACUCCGCCUGGGGAGUACGACCGCAAGGUUGAAACUCAAAGGAAUUGACGGGGACCCGCACAAGCGGUGGAGCAUGUGGUUUAAUUCGAAGCAACGCGAAGAACCUUACCAAAUCUUGACAUCCUUUGACAACUCUAGAGAUAGAGCCUUCCCCUUCGGGGGACAAAGUGACAGGUGGUGCAUGGUUGUCGUCAGCUCGUGUCGUGAGAUGUUGGGUUAAGUCCCGCAACGAGCGCAACCCUUAAGCUUAGUUGCCAUCAUUAAGUUGGGCACUCUAAGUUGACUGCCGGUGACAAACCGGAGGAAGGUGGGGAUGACGUCAAAUCAUCAUGCCCCUUAUGAUUUGGGCUACACACGUGCUACAAUGGACAAUACAAAGGGCAGCGAAACCGCGAGGUCAAGCAAAUCCCAUAAAGUUGUUCUCAGUUCGGAUUGUAGUCUGCAACUCGACUACAUGAAGCUGGAAUCGCUAGUAAUCGUAGAUCAGCAUGCUACGGUGAAUACGUUCCCGGGUCU
rnacentral:rRNA from 1 species